rnacentral:rRNA from 1 species
UACGGAGGGUGCAAGCGUUGCUCGGAAUUAUUGGGCGUAAAGCGCACGCAGGCGGUAAGGUAAGUCAGUUGUGAAACUCCUGGGCUCAACCUGGGAACUGCAGUUGAUACUGCCUUGCUAGAGUACGGAAGAGGGAAGUGGAAUUCCCAGUGUAGAGGUGAAAUUCGUAGAUAUUGGGAGGAACACCGGUGGCGAAGGCGGCUUCCUGGUCCGAUACUGACGCUCAUGUGCGAAAGCGUGGGGAGCAAACAGG